rnacentral:rRNA from 1 species
UACCAGCACCCCGAGUGGUCGGGACGUUUUAUUGGGCCUAAAGCAUCCGUAGCCGGUUCUGCAAGUCUUCCGUUAAAUCCACCUGCUUAACAGAUGGGCCGCGGAAGAUACUAUAGAGCUAGGAGGCGGGAGAGGCAAGCGGUACUCGAUGGGGUAGGGGUAAAAUCCGUUGAUCCAUUGAAGACCACCAGUGGCGAAGGCGGCUUGCCAGAACGCGCUCGACGGUGAGGGAUGAAAGCUGGGGGGAGCAAACCGG